GCGUUCAUGGUGUAACGGUAGCACAUUCGGUGCGUAUUCAAGAGGUCCAGGUUCGAGUCCCGGUGACGGCA
rnacentral:tRNA from 1 species